CAUCAGAGAGGUACCAGUGGAGACGCAUAUCAGAGCAACUACUCAACUACUAGUCACUGACGUUAGAAUAAAUCAUACAGUAGAUAUUACCAUUAGGAGUCAGUUAGAAAGGUAAUCAUACAGUAGAUAUUACCAUUAGGAGUCAGUUAGAAAGGUAAUUAUACAGUAAGUUAAUACUGUAAGUAAAAGUAAGUUAGAAUCAUAGAUAUUACAAUACCAGGUCAGUCAGACUGAAUUAGUUCAUUCAUUGAUUGAUUGGGGUAAUCAUUGAUAUUCGGUACGGUUAGUUAAGAUGGCCAAUUACGUCAACAAACAGGUGAUUGAAUUAAACAAAGUUAAUGAAGAAAACCGGAACAGAGCAACGAGGAGCGUGAAGACUGAGACCCAUCUCUCAGAUGGAAGACUACGACACUACAGGCUGGCUGCUGUGUGUUUUGGAGUGCUGUGUGUUCUACAAGUCAUUCUGAACAUCUCCCUAAGGCUGGCUUUCUAUAAUAGAGGCAAUGUGACUAAAGAGAGAGACCAGCUUCAGAAGGAAAGAGAUGAUCUCAUGAGAAAGUUCUCUAAUCUGAAACAAACCUGUCCUGAAGGCUGGCAGAAGUUUGAAUCCAGUUGGUACUUCAUCUCUACUGAGACUAAAACCUGGAAGGAGAGCAGACAGGACUGUCUGGAGAGAGGAGCAGACCUGGUGAUCAUAAACAGUGAUAAGGAACAGGAGUUUCUCAUUGGCCUCAAUAAGGGAGCUUGGAUUGGUCUGACUGACUCUGUUACUGAGGGGACAUGGACAUGGGUGGACGUCACCCCACUGACCAUAAGUUACUGGCACUCACAGCAGCCUGAUAAUGGUCGUGUCGACCCAAAAAAUGGGGAGGAGGACUGUGUUGAGCUGAACACAGAAACAUGGCCUCCUGCAAAGGCAUGGAAUGACCAGUCAUGUUCAGACAAUCGUCACUGGAUCUGUGAGAAAGUGGUUUAACAACACCAUGACAACAGAGGAGACUGGUGGCAGGACGAGCACACAUACAGCACCCUACAGUGCACACUUCAUUCUCUCUUUCUAAGACACACCAACACACUGUAGGUACUGUACUGUGGGGCAAAACAACCUGAUAAUGUGGUGUACCAGGAUAUACUGUAACUAGGACUGUGCUGAGUGUCAUGAUCGUUGUUAGAAAUGGACCAAGGCGCAGCGUGCGUAGAGCUCCACAUGUUUUAAUAAAUUAAACUCACCAAAAACAAUACAGACCAAAACGAAACGUGCCGCUAAUGUAGUGCUCGCAGGCAACUAGACAUAGACAAGAUCCCACAACCACAGUGGGGAAAAGGCUGCCUAAAUAUGAUCCCCAAUCAGAGACAAUGAUAGACAGCUGCCUCUGAUUGGGAACCAUACCCGGCCAACAUAGAAAUGAAAAAACUAGACUACCCACCCUAGUCACACCCUGACCUAACCAAAAUAGAGAAUAAAAAGGAUCUCUAAGGUCAGGGCGUGACACUGAGGUUAAAAUGGGGUAUUCUAAGCCUGUAUAUAAAUAUUCUGACAUAUCAUUUACCUCUCAACAUAACUGGAUUUGUGAAGAGUUAUACAGUAGCUCAUUAUAUAGUAGUGCUACAGUGCUAAUGCAUCUCUCUCUAGUUAAACAGUGUGUAGACAUACUGUCAUCUGUAAAAUGCUUGCAUUCAUUGUUUUAAAUAGAAACACGUUAUGUGAUUUGCCAUAGGCUUGUGCUUUUUUCAUAAUCAAUUAUUAGCAUAAACCACUGUAGUAAGAAGAUGAACUAAGGCUCAAAUUAAGUAAGAAAGGAACCUAGCAGGUUUACCAGCUUCCUGAUUGAAUGUGAUUGGAUUGUUAAAACAAUGUGACUUGGAGUUGGACAGAGACAGAAGGCAGAACAGUACUGAGAGGAUACAUGCUGCACGCAGGCAGACACACACACACACACACAGACACACACACAGACACACGUGUGAAGUUCCCGUUUUCUGAUAAAGAUGCAGACAGAUGUCCCACACACACACACACACCUCUGAAUAACUCUUCACACUGAUGUCACACACAGACAGCGUAGAUAAAAGAAAAGGGCCCCUAUCGAUGACAUAGAGAGAGUACGAGCCCUAAUGUGAACUCCAUUUGAAGGCUGGGGAAGCCACAAACAGGCCUGUCAAAGUGAUAGGAUGAAAGGCUGCACUUGUCAUUACUUGUUUUCAUGAAGCUAUCAUGUUAUAUCACACUGUUUAGAAUAUCCUGUCAUGUUUACCUACCUGAUUGAAGGCGAUUGGAUACUUUAAAAAUGAUACUGUAGUGGACAACAGACAGAGAUCAGAGAGGUACCUGGUGGAGAUGCACAUCAGAGUAACUACUCAACUACUAGUCACUGAAGUUAGAAUCAUACAGUAGAUAUUACCAUUAGGAGUCAGUUAGAAAGGUAAUCAUACAGUAGAUAUUACCAUUAGGAGUCAGUUAGAAAGGUAAUUAUACAGUAGAUAUUACCAUUAGGAGUCAGAUAGAAAGGUAAUCAUACAGUAGAUAUUACCAUUAGGAGUCAGUUAGAAAGGUAAUGAUACAGUAGAUAUUACCAUUAGGAGUCAGUUAGAAAGGUAAUCAUACAGUAGAUAUUACCAUUAUUAGUCAGUUAGAAAGGUAAUGAUACAGUAGAUAUUACCAUUAGGAGUCAAUUAGAAAGGUAAUCAUACAGCAAGAUAAUACUGUAAGUAAAAGUAAGUUAGAAUCAUAUAUAUUACAAUACGAGGUCAGACAGACCUAAUUGAUUGAUUGGGGUAAUCAUUGCUAUUCGGUACGUAUUAGUUAAGAUGGCCGACUAAUUCAACAAACAGGCGAUUGAAUUAAACUAAGUUAAUGAAGAAAACCAGAACAGAGCAACGAGGAGCGUGAAGACUGAGACCCAUCUCUCAGGUACAAAGAAUUAUCUCAAAUUCAUAGACAGAGCUACAGUAUGUAUGCAAGGACCGACCAUCCACGAGAUCUAAAUGAUAGUUUUAACUAUUUGAGGCUACACAGUGUUUGUUUACAAUUCCAUGGUAUAUCAAGCUUAUAUUUUGAGUCCUGAUGGGGUUAGACUGUUAAACUAAAGUCAUGAGGCAAUUAUAAAUUACAUUCUUCAAGAAUCCAUGGGGAAAUAUUAUUAUUUUAAAAGUUAAAUAAAAUGUGAUAAAACAAUCCCUUAUUGCCCCUUUAAAUCAUGCUAUUGCUAUAUUGUGUAAUUUCUUUAUACAGUAGCUUCCUGUUUAUCAGAUUUAAGAUGACCGCAAGCUUGAGCAAACUGUUGCUGCCAACUCUCGAUGGGGGAAAACCAACAGUGCAAUGGAAAUGUUUGGCUCUCAGAAUUCUAAUCAUAAUCAUCAUAUCACUCAAUACCAAUUUUCAAUCUUAAGAUGUACAGUUCAUUAUGUAGCAUUUCUUGUAGGCUGUACACAAAUCUCUCUCUCUUUCCCUCUACCUCUUUUUAUUAGCAGCAUGUCAUGUGACCUCCCAUGCUUCUGCUAAGUUUAUUUAUUUUUAUUAUUUUUGUCCUAUGAGUUUUUCCAGCUUCCUGAUUGAAUGUGAGUCACGGAGUGUGAAUCAUAAUGUCACUUCCUUAUGAACAAUGUCACAAAUAGGCCUUGCGAAAUAUGACGUCUUGCUUGAAAGUGAUUGGAUACUUAAAACGUUCUUUCAAUUGCAGUCAAUGACAAACAGACAAGACAGACAACAAUGGAGAGCCAUAUCAGAGCAACUACUCAACUACUUGUCAUUGAAGUUAGAAUCAUACAGCAGAUAUUACCAUUGGGAGUCAGUUAGAAAGGUAAUCAUAAGUAAGUCAAUACUGUAAGUAAAAGUAAGUUAGAAUCAUAGAUAUUACAAUAAGAGGUCAGACAGACUGAAUUUGUUGAUUAAUUGAUUGAUUGGGGUAAUCAUUAAUAUUCGGUUCAGUUACUUGAGAUGGCCGACUACGUCAACAAACAGAUGAUUGAAUUAAACAAAGUUAAUGAAGAAAACCAGAACAGAGCAACGAGGAGCGUGAAGACUGAGACCCAUCUCAUAGAUGAGCACAUUCCUGCUGCGUUUUGGUCCUCCAUUCCAGACGACAACCGUGACAACUGAUGGAAGACUAAGACUCUACAGGCUGGCUGCUGUGUGUUUUGGAGUGCUGUGUGUUCUACAAGUCAUUCUCAACAUCUCCCUGAGACUGGCUUUCUAUAACAGGGGCUAUGUGACUGCAGAGAAAGACGUGCUACAGACCUGUUACAACACUAUGACUGAAGAGAGAGACCAGCUACAGACCAGUUACAACACCCUGACUAAAGAGAGAGACCAGCUACAGACCAGUAGUAACACCCUGACUAAGGAGAGAGACCAGCUUCAGAAGGAGAGAUAUGAUCUUAUGACAAAGUUCUCUAAUCUGAUUACUGGUACACACUGCAGCCUGAUAAUUAUGGUGCCAACCCAGCAAAUCGGGAGGAGGAUUGUGUUGAGCUGAACACAGAAUCAUGGCAUCCUGUAAAGGCAUGAAAUGACCUGUCAUGUUUAAACAAUCGUUACUGGAUUUGUGAGAAAGUAGUUUAACAACACCAUGAGAACAGAGGAGGCUGGUAGGAGAACUGAAAGGAAUUUUAUAAUAUCUGUACAUUACAAUUCUACAUGUGAUUCCAAAAGUACAAUGAUUCAUGUUUUGCUUGAGCUUGAGAUUAAGAAUCAGUGAUAGACCUUGCAAGUGCAUGAAAAGGUCAACUGUACAAAGUCAUAUGUCUGUGUGUUGAAACUAUACUUUGGGUAACAGAUGGAUAAAGGGAACCAAGAGUUCCUGUUGUUGCUAUAUUCCAGUCUUACUUCUGCUUGCACAUGAUAGCAAUAAUGGGAAGAGGGAUUGGGAAACUGACUGCCAAUAACACAAUAAACUAAACUCUGCCUAGCAGAGACAUCUUUGUAUUAGCAACUAUUAAUUAUGAGCUUAUAUGGUAUUAAAGUUAAGGGACAUCACCCCUGGCGGUGGGAUCCUCAGUAGGGGAUAAAACUGAAAAACACCAUCUUUUGUGCUGAGUGUGUUACUUGAAAAUUACUGUAAGUGUAUACCCCGGGUUGCAAUCCGGCUUGAAAUCCUUAUUAAACAAACUAACCUCUGA